UCUUCUGUCCUUCUGGUUAAAGAGGCAUUUAUUUAGAAUGGUGAGAAGGAAUCUCUAGAAUCUUAUGUAAAGCAUUGAACUUCUGUUCUUCUGAGAGUCGUGGGGAGUUGCAGCUUGGUUCACUCAUCUCCUGAUAAUGCCUUGUAUGUUCUCUUUUCGUUAAUUUAGUAUUUUUUUUCUUGGUCUAGGUUGUGUUCUUUUUUGAGAACAUUGGCUAAUCAGGAAAGCAACCCUUGUAUCAUCCACAGAGCUAGAAGCUUUGGGGUACUCUUCAGUUAUAUGCAACGGAAGCAGCUUCCAGACUUGGUAAACUGAUGAGGGAUGCCCUUAUUUUGAUGCAUAUGGAAUUGAGAAGAUCAUAUGGACUUGCAGAGUGGUUGCCUUCAAUGGAUCUAACGAGAUAAGCUUGAACUAGGCAGUUGAAGGACAUACCUUGGUGGAUGGCUGUCAUACGGGAUGGUGAUGUUUGAAUAUUCACUGCUUGUAAACUUGAAAAUGUUGGAUGAUCUUCAAUUAUCGAGGCAAAUUUCCAUCAAAAGCUUGCAUAAUAAUCUUGCACAGACUGCCUCCUAGGCUUAGCUCGAGUGGAAGAAGGUGGUGUCGCAGGUUUGAGCCCCACACCAUGCAAAGUGUAGCCCGGAGGCGGGCCUAUUAUCCACUGAGUUUAGAAGGCUAUGAUUGGUCCAAAGAGCGGGUCACAUGCGGAUUUCUCGGUUAUAAAAAAAAGAAUCUUGCAGAGACUUUCAAGAGCUCUUGAAGUUUUCAUGACUGGGUGGGUAUAUUGUAGUUUGAAAAAUUCAUUUUUCUAUAGUUUUUCCAAUACUCAACAUCUUUGGCUAGUAGUUUAGGUUAUUGGAUUUCUUCUUCUUCACACGCAUCUGCAUGUUUGUAGUGAUAGCUCGCCAAUAGGGAUGGUACUGUUUUCUUGAAUGACAGUCUCUUGGAGAUGAAGUUAAUUCUCCAAAUUCCUUAGCACCUCACCCGUAGAUGGAAUGUGCACCAGAUUCAGCAAAGUACUUAAGUGCGUUUCUCCAAACUUGCUAAAGGAAUCUGGUCUUAUAUUGCCCAAAAGGUCGGGAUCUAUGAUAUGUUCCAUCUAUCUCUUCUAUUGCAAAUUCAUUGCCCAGUCACCUAAGUUGACCUUCUCCCUUGGAAGAGAUCGAUCUCGGGCAGACCUAGCACAAAGAACUUCACAUAAAAUGGUCACCAAUGGAGAAAGAAGAAGGAUGGUGAAACUGUUUAAGAACUGUGAAAGACACUCACCAAAAGGUGAAGAUGUUUUUGAAAGUCUUGGAGCACCUUUGAAUGUUGCUAAACCCACAAAAGAUUCAAGUGUGGCUAUUUUUUGACUAGGAGCUGUAGGCCUUAUUGCUGCAGACGGAGAAAAAAUUGCUAGCGCUUCAAGGAUAAUUUGUGUCGAUUUAAAUGCUAGCUGAUUUCAGUAAGGUAAUUAACUUGUGUCUUACACAUUCUCGAUCCAUUAUCUUAUAUAGCAAAGCAACUAAUUCAUCCAUUUUACUUUUAUUUUACAACUAAGAAAUUUUGCGUGAAAAAGUUUGUGAACCCGAAGGAUUAAAGUAAACCAGGUCAAGAGGUACUAAUAUCUGCUUCUCCUAAUGGAUCAUUUUGCGAAAGAAGAAAAAGACAAGUGUGAGACAUAGUGGAUCAUCUUUUCUUGAAUUUUGAUUAAUUGAUUAGGUAACUGAUGAGAUGACUGAUUGCAAAUUCGAUUUGAGUGUGAAGUGUACUGGCCAUAUUGAUGUAUGUUUUCUAUCAUGAAAUUUCCUUAAUUGUACAUUAUUAUUUUUAUAAUAAUCUUAACGAACAUUGUCGUUAUUAAUUUUCAGGUCUAGUAGUGGCUGUUCUUAUUGGUAUGUACCCCAUAAAAAAGCUGUGUUCAAGACACACUUUUGAACUUUUUAAUGAAAGUACUAUCAAAGUAACCUUUUUUUGGAAA